AAACCAUGAUGAGGACAUUGCGUCUGAUAUCCCAUGAAGCGCUCCCAUGCUUCAAAGAAAGUCUCGGCAUUUUUCUAGGUGAAAGCGGAAAGCUUAUUCCGGAGUCU
rfam:Arabidopsis thaliana chromosome 2, complete sequence.